rnacentral:rRNA from 1 species
UACGGGGGGGGGCAAGCGUUGUUCGGAAUUACUGGGCGUAAAGGGCUCGUAGGUGGCCAACUAAGUCAGACGUGAAAUCCCUCGGCUUAACCGGGGAACUGCAUCUGAUACUGGAUGGCUGGAGAUUGGGAGAGGGAUGCGGAAUUCCAGGUGUAGCGGUGAAAUGCGUAGAUAUCUGGAGGAACACCGGUGGCGAAGGCGGCAUCCUGGACCAACACUGACGCUGAGGAGCGAAAGCGUGGGGAGCAAACAGG